AAAAAAAAUUUCCUGAAUCUUUUUGGAUCUUGUCUGUAUUGUUGACAUACUUGUUGAUAGGUAUUUUGAAAUAAAUUACCAAAAUAAUUGAAACUGGAGUGAUUAUAUUGUGUUAUUUUGACAAACAACAGAUGCAGAAUUUUGCAGAAUUUUAAAAUAUUGUAUGCAGAAUUUUUAA